UCUCCCGGCGGGAAUCGAACCCGGUCUCCUGCGUGACAGGCGGGAUACUCACCCCACUAUACUACUGAGAC